CUUUUUUCCCCUAUUUAUUUGUGUCACCUUGACAUAAUAACCGUUUUUAUAAAUCCAAAAAAAACUUAUUGCUUCAUCAAGAGAGAAGUGUUAGAUGAUGCAAAAGACAUGUUGAGAGAUGCAAUUACUCGAAAGCUUGACAUCAAAAAAAUCAUGUUAUCUUCUUCAAACACAUUAUGUAUUGCAGAUUUUGGAUGUUCAAUUGGACCAAACACUUUCAUUGCAAUGCAACAUGUUGUACAAUCUCUAAAA